rnacentral:rRNA from 1 species
CCUACGGGGGUCAGCAGUGAGGAAUAUUGGUCAAUGGGCGAGAGCCUGAACCAGCCAAGUCGCGUGAGGGAGUACUGCCCUCUGGGUUGUAAACCUCUUUUGUCGGGGAGCAAAAGCCGGACGUGUCCGGCUGUGAGAGUAUCCGAAGAAAACGCAUCGGCUAACUCCGUGCAAGCAGCCGCGGUAAUACGGAGGAUGCGAGCGUUAUCCGGAUUUAUUGGGUUUAAAGGUUGCGCAGGCGGAUUUUUAAGUCAGCGGUCAAUGCGUGGGCCUCAACCCCAUCCAGCCGUGGAAACUGGGGAUCUAGAGUGUGCGAGAGGUAUGCGGAAUGCGUGGUGUAGCGGUGAAAUGCAUAGAUAUCACGCAGAACCCCGAUGGCGAAGGCAGCAUACCGGUGCAUAACUGACGCUCAGGCACGAAAGCGUGGGUAGCGAACAGGAUUAGAUACCCGAGUAGUC